rnacentral:rRNA from 1 species
UGAGAGCUUCGGCAGGAUUUUUAUUUAUCUUAGUGGCGGACGGGUGAGUAACGUGUGGGCAACCUGCCCUAUACUGGGGAAUAAUCACUGGAAACGGUGACUAAUACCGCAUGUCAUCACGAGAAGGCAUCUUUUUGUGAGAAAAGGAGUAAUUCGGUAUAGGAUGGGCCCGCAUCUGAUUAGCUAGUUGGUGAGAUAACAGCCCACCAAGGCGACGAUCAGUAGCCGACCUGAGAGGGUGAUCGGCCACAUUGGGACUGAGACACGGCCCAAACUCCUACGGGAGGCAGCAGUGGGGAAUAUUGCACAAUGGGGGAAACCCUGAUGCAGCAACGCCGCGUGAAGGAAGAAGGUUUUCGGAUCGUAAACUUCUAUCAACAGGGACGAAGAAAGUGACGGUACCUGAAUAAGAAGCCCCGGCUAACUACGUGCCAGCAGCCGCGGUAAUACGUAGGGGGCAAGCGUUAUCCGGAAUUACUGGGUGUAAAGGGAGCGUAGGCGGCACGCCAAGCCAGAUGUGAAAGCCCGAGGCUUAACCUCGCGGAUUGCAUUUGGAACUGGCGAGCUAGAGUACAGGAGAGGAAAGCGGAAUUCCUAGUGUAGCGGUGAAAUGCGUAGAUAUUAGGAAGAACACCAGUGGCGAAGGCGGCUUUCUGGACUGAAACUGACGCUGAGGCUCGAAAGCGUGGGGAGCAAACAGGAUUAGAUACCCUGGUAGUCCACGCCGUAAACGAUGAGUGCUAGGUGUCGGGGAGGAAUCCUCGGUGC